rnacentral:lncRNA from 1 species
GAAACCUAUGGUUUUGCCAUGUAAUGCAAAACACCAAUGGAAUCACUACAUAAGCAAAAUGCCAGUAAUGGUACAGUGGUCCAGCCACAAACAUUGAAGAGUUGGGGCAGAACAGGGCUGUGAGUGUUUGCAGCUGCCCUUGGAGCUGGAGUGGAGGGAGUCCCCCCUGUGCUGCCCAGAGCUCAGCACAAAGGGAUGUGCAAGGUAAACUGCUUUUAAAAAGUCACUGGCUGGGCCUUUCAAAUCAUGUUUAGGGUUCUCUC